GACGAACGCUGGCGGCGUGCUUAAUACAUGCAAGUCAACUUGACUUUAGAUAGCAAUAUCGAAAAGUAGGGUGGCGCACGGGUGCGUAACGCGUAGGUAAUCUGCCCUGAGGUCUGACAUAACCCGUCGAAAGGCGGGCUAACAUCAGAUGAUAUAUAAUCACGACAUCGUGGAAAUAUCAAAUCUUCGGAGCCUUGGGAUGAGCCUGCGUCUGAUUAGGUAGUUGGCGGAGUAAUAGCCCACCAAGCCUACGAUCAGUAGCUGGUCUGAGAGGAUGAUCAGCCACACUGGAACUGAGACACGGUCCAGACUCCUACGGGAGGCAGCAGUAAGGAAUAUUGCUCAAUGGGGGAAACCCUGAAGCAGCAACGCCGCGUGAAGGAUGAAAUACUUUUGUAUGUAAACUUCUGUAAGAUGGGAAAAUAUUCUCCUCGGGAGAAUUGAUUGUACCAUCAGAGUAAGCCCCGGCUAACUACGUG
rnacentral:rRNA from 1 species